AAUAGAUACCCCGGUAGUCCACGCCGUAAACGAUGAGUGCUAAGUGUUAGAGGGUUUCCGCCCUUUAGUGCUGCAGCAAACGCAUUAAGCACUCCGCCUUGGGAGUACGGUCGCAAGACUGAAACUCAAAGGAAUUGACGGGGGCCCGCACAAGCGGUGGAGCAUGUGGUUUAAUUCGAAGCAACGCGAAGAACCUUACCAGGUCUUGACAUCCUCUGACACUCCUAGAGAUAGGAAUUUCCCCUUCGGGGGACAGAGUGACAGGUGGUGCAUGGUUGUCGUCAGCUCGUGUCGUGAGAUGUUGGGUUAAGUCCCGCAACGAGCGCAACCCUUGAUCUUAGUUGCCAGCAUUCAGUUGGGCACUCUAAGGUGACUGCCGGUGACAAACCGGAGGAAGGUGGGGAUGACGUCAAAUCAUCAUGCCCCUUAUGACCUGGGCUACACACGUGCUACAAUGGAUGGUACAAAGGGCAGCGAAACCGCGAGGUUAAGCCAAUCCCAUAAAACCAUUCUCAGUUCGGAUUGCAGGCUG
rnacentral:rRNA from 1 species